AGAGUUUGAUCCUGGCUCAGGAUGAACGCUAGCGGCAGGCCUAAUACAUGCAAGUCGAACGGUAACUGGAGUAGCAAUACUUCGGCUAGAGUGACGUAAGGGUGCGUAACACGUAUGCAAUCUGCCCUGUACUGGAGAAUAGCUCCCCGAAAGGGGAAUUAACACUCCAUAAUAUAUUUGAAUGGCAUCAUUUGAAUAUUAAAACUCCGGUGGUACAGGAUGAGCAUGCGUCUGAUUAGCUAGUUGGUAGUGUAAAGGACUACCAAGGCGAUGAUCAGUAGGGGAACUGAGAGGUUGAUCCCCCACACUGGCACUGAGAUACGGGCCAGACUCCUACGGGAGGCAGCAGUAGGGAAUAUUGGUCAAUGGAUGCAAGUCUGAACCAGCCAUGCCGCGUGCAGGAAGAAGGCCUUCUGGGUUGUAAACUGCUUUUGCCGGGGGAUAAAAAUACCUUGCGAGGUAAAUUGAAGGUACCCGGUGAAUAAGCCACGGCUAACUACGUGCCAGCAGCCGCGGUAAUACGUAGGUGGCAAGCGUUGUCCGGAUUUAUUGGGUUUAAAGGGUGCGUAGGCGGCCUCAUAAGUCAGUGCUGAAAUAUCCCGGCUUAACCGGGAGGGUGGCAUUGAUACUGCGAGGCUUGAGUGAAGUCGAGGUAGGCGGAAUUGACGGUGUAGCGGUGAAAUGCUUAGAUAUCGUCAAGAACACCGAUAGUGAAGACAGCUUACUAGACUUCAACUGACGCUGAGGCACGAAAGUGUGGGGAUCAAACAGGAUUAGAUACCCUAGUAGUCC
rnacentral:rRNA from 1 species